GCAAACUGAGGCCUUUGCACAUCUUGUCAAACGACAUGCAUUAGCUUCAUCUGCUGCUGCUGGGGGUUUAAGAUCUGCUGCAGAAUGUGUUCAAAUAGCUUUAGGACACUGUUCACUGUUGGAAGCUCGUGGGCUUGCCCUUUGUCCUGUGCUUGUGAAGCUCUUUAGACCUAGUGUNAUAGCUUUAGGACACUGUUCACUGUUGGAAGCUCGUGGGCUUGCCCUUUGUCCUGUGCUUGUGAAGCUCUUUAGACCUAGUGUCGAGCAAGCGCUGGAUGCCAAUUUGAAGCGAAUAGAAGAAAGCACAGCUGCUUUAGCUGCUGCUGAUGAUUGGGAGCUCACAUAUCCUCCAACCGCUUCACGCCAAUCCGGCAGGACUCCUGCAGCUUUGGGUGGUACGAUG
rnacentral:lncRNA from 1 species